rnacentral:sRNA from 1 species
ACAAGUUUUGGUGGUCUGCGCUCUGCUUAAGCCAGAUUACCUGGUUAGAUAAUCUGCCAGGAUUAGCUAACCUUUGAAAAACCACCUGCCAGGGUGGUUUUUCUUUAUGUAGAGAUUAUGCUUUUAAUAAGCACGC